GCCAGUUGGGACUUGGAGAACAGAGAGGUGGUGGAAUUAGAAGGCAGCUGGAGGCUUGACCAAGGUAUGCUGAGGAGUGAGAGAGGUAGCGGGAGCCACAGCCAAUGAAAAGGCCCUGUGAAGAGGAGGUGUCAGCUUGUUGAAGAAAGAGCAAUGAAGCCUGGGUGGCCAGAAAUCAGAAAGAGAGAAAAAUAGCCUGUUUAUAAGGGUGCUGUGGGGAACCUUUAUGCUGCCUUCCUCUCAAGCUCUUUGAAGACCAACUCAUACCAUCAAGAAGUCCUUAGAUGCUAAAGACUUUUAUAGGCAAGCCUGACUCCCCACAGUGAGUCCUUGAACUUUGAAAGAAAGAAGGCUGGUGGGGGAGGGCUGUGGGGGAGGGCUGGUGAGGAAGGGCUAGGGGGAAGGUUGGUGGGGAGGGCUGGUGAGAGAGGGCUGGUGAGGGAGGGCUGUGGGGGAGGGCUGAUGAGGGGACAGCCAGUGAGAUGGAACUUGGUCUCCAAGUUGGGCCGAGUGUGGAGAGAGGAUGGGGAAGACAUUUUCCCUGUCCACUCUGGGAGCCAGAUACAGCUGAUAAAAGGCCUGUUCUUCAUCCAGAAAGACCCAACAUGCACCCCUUUUGUGAAACUUUUGGAGUCAUUGGGGGAUGGGCAGACUUCUUCCUUAUGUCUAUUGCUGCGGUCUGGACUUGGGUCCUGGGAUGGAUGCUUCAGGUCUCUCCCAUGGCCCCUGGACCAGCAAGCACUUUCAAGUCUUCGCCUCUCAGAUUGGACCCCGCCCAGAAGGAGAGCCUUUUCUCUAAUAUCCUAAAAGCAGGAUGGACACUGGCUCUGGGAUCCUUCCCACCACCUGGCUUACUCUUGAGAGUUGAGUGGUAAAUGAGAAACUGAAAAGUUCUGGGGAGUGACCAGUGUGGCCAACAAAAGUCUAAUUGCACUUUUCAAAGGUGGAGCGGCCAUCUGGCACGGCGAAGACACUCACUUUACAUUUCUACUGACUGGGGUAUGACUAAAGUCAUUUACCAUUAAGUUCUAUUUGAAUAAAACGCUAGUAGACAUUUAGGUAAUAUUACAGAGCAAUAAAUGUUUAAGAGCCUAAGGGGUCUGAGCUCUCCAAAAGCAGUUCAGACCCAGAUGCUAAAAACACUUCAUAUGUGUGCGCAUGUGUGUGUGUGGGAUUUUUCUCCCCCUCUCCUGGUUCCCUCACCCUCGGAAUUCACAUUCUGAAUUGUUUAAGACUUUCCUGGCUGUGUCUCCUCUGCCCCCCUCUCCCCUUUCCCCUUUAAUUCUUUUUUACACCGGGUAAAGAAGCACGAGGGAAAUGUAGUUAAAAUUCAAACGGCUUCCCCUUUAUCAUUACCA
rnacentral:lncRNA from 1 species